UCUAACGGUCCGCUCGCCGUCGGUAGCCCGGAGCGCUCGCGUCUCCUCACGCUCGCCGCUCAGCGCGCGCGGGCGCAGGGGUUGUUGCUGUGGGGUUGGAAGCAGGUACAUUGUAGGACUAGAGACCAUCUUUAUCAUCAGGUCGGUGAAGCUAACCGAUUGUUCACCAUCACCGGGUAUUACAAUGGAGCAACAGCUUUACUGUGGUUAAUUGAGUCACUGUUUAAAAUAUUACUAUUCUUAGGGCUCUAAAAUCCACAUGGUGACCAAGAAUACCUCGAAAUUUGCUGUGCUUCAUAGAGGUGAAGGAUACAGUUAGUGGUCCAAAUUUGGAGACAUUUGAGCAAGGAUUUCCCAAGAUACAGGGCUCCAGAUCCUCCCAUCCCCCCAAAAUCAGCCAUUUACAAAACUGCCUGGUUCUUCUAAUCUUGGGGCAGGUCUACACUACGGCAGGAAUCGAUGCUCCGAGAUCGAUCCACCAGCAGUCGAUUUAGUGGGUCUAGUAAAGUCCUACCAAAUUGACUGCAGAUCGCUCUCUAGUCAACCCCUGUACUCUACCCCGACAAGAAGAGUAAGGUAAGUCGACUGGAGAUUUUCUCCCAUCGACCCCCGCGGUGUAGACCCCGUGGUCACUCAGCCUAAAGUACGUAGCUGGAGUUGCGUAGCAUAGGCCAACUUACCGUGGUAGUGUAGACAUAGCCUUAGUUUAUCCAUACAAGGGGUUCAAAUUAUUGAUCUGAUCCUCCCCAAACUGAUAUCGUCUGUUGGGAUUUAUCUCAGAUAGGGGAUAGCACACACUCUUCGGGGAAGCCAUAUCGAAAAAACAUGGGAGAGUACUCCUACCUUUUUUAUUUGUCCCAUUGAAAAAAAAGCUACACUCGAGAAGUCUCAAAGAAUCUAGCAAAGCAUCUGAGCUCCACCUUCUGAAGGGGCCAGUUGGGCAUUAUAGCCAUACUAGGGAAAGCAAUUUAGCAGAGCAUAGGAGAGCAUGCACAAUCAUUCUGAAUAACUGGACAAACUAAUAUCUUAUUUUGACAGGUUUCAGAGUAGCUGUAGCUCAUGAAAGCUUAUGCUCAAAUAAAUUGGUUAGUCUCUAAGGUGCCACAAGUACUUCUUUUCUUUUUGUCUUAUUUCGGUGUCUCAGGUGAUCAAAAUUUGGUUUGCACACACAUCUUAGAACCGUAUAACUGAUUUUUUUGUUUCCAGUUUGACUCCUGCCUAAAACAUCUUACAACCAACACAAUUUCCAUUUUAGAAUUAAAAACCGUGCUGUCCACAGAUUUAAUACGUAGCACUUUAAAAUUGGAAACAAAGGGUUACAUAUAACAUAAAAUCAUGACAUGCAUUCUCGAGCCUAGACUUAAUUAAAAAGCUGUUCUCUUGUCUAAUAAAGUUUACCUCACCCACAGUCUUUCUCCCAGCAUUUUAUAGCGUAGCUAGCUGUGACCCUCCAUUUAUAAGACAUGCGCACUGGCAGCUUGUCUCCUGGGUGAAAGAUAUCAGGGUGUCCCUUGGCAAUCCCAGAUAUAUGAGAACAGUCCUUUAUCUUUAUUCAUAAACCAUACAUCCUCCUGCUGUGUAUUGUUACUUCUAGAUUUCACAAUCUCUCAUCAAUGUCUCUGUCUUGAUUAGCUGGUAACUCAGUACGCAGAUAGACUUACACUGAGAGACAGACACGAGGCAUGUCACUUCUUUGUGACUUGCCUUUAAUCUUCAAGGCUUUAAAAACAUAAUUUCCAGCAUAGAUAUAUAACUUUUAAAAUACUGUUGUUACAGACAUUUCACAAUGAUUAUGAUGACCACUGGCUAUUGGCUCUCGGUAGAGACCUUACAUGCUGCCCUUUGGUGAACUAUUCUGUAGCUAUUGGACCCAGAGGAUCCCUGUAAACCUCUAUGUACCUUUUAUGCCCUCUUCCUGUUGGCACCAUGGGGUCCCUGCGUCACACCCUCUGAAGUCAGGGUAUGGUUCAUAAGCCAUGGCAGAAGGAGGCAUGCAGGGUUCCCUAGAACAACAGUGAGGACAGAGACUCCAUUUACAACAGCGUCUCUUGGAGGGAAUAAGGUCCUUGUUGCUUAUCCAAAAAGUUAUAGCCCUGAGCUCUGAAAAAUCCUGACAUCAUGCACCCUGCUAGUACAUCCCACUUUGAUAUCCAUGAACCUGCUUCUGUGGUCCACCAACGUCUAUAUAAUAAUGUAGUACCAUUUGUGGUUUAUGGGCAUAUGAGUCCCAUCGAUAGCCCCAACACAGUUUGGGAAGCCCAUUCCCUCAAAGCCCACCACCUCUGGGGGAACAACAGUCCUGAUUGCUUCAGGAAACUCCACAAUCCACACAGCUGACUUGCCAACACCAAAGUGGUUUGUCAUGGACCUGUAGCAGUAUGGGGUUGCCAGCUCCCAGAUGCCUAUAGCAAGCCACUGGUAUGGCCUGAUUCCAGCAGCAGAGAGCAUGCAGACCUGAAGUGGGUCAGCUGGAUACACUGGCAGGCAAGGAGCACCUCCGGUCAAAUGCCACAGGAUGGACAGACAAGGUCUCCCACGAUACACCAUGAACCAAGCUUUAGAGCAGCUACAGCUAGCAGGGUGCUCAGAAUCCUGGGGCUCACGCACAGAAGCCACAGAAUCUGACACAUGUCUGCAUACCACAAUAUGGAUAUGCCCAGCAUGCGUAUGAAACAUGCAUAGCCAUGUGGUGUGGCUGCUCAGAAAUGAGCUUUGAAAGAAUGGGUUUGCAAGUCACAUGGACCCAGGUUUACUAUGCAGUGUAGACCUAACCUUGCAGUGGGCUAGCCAACUUCAGCACAUGUUCAAGUCAAUGGAUAAUUGAGGGUGCUUUGCACCUCACAGACUGGGGCCUCUAUAACUGUUGCUUCAAGUUGUGUGCAAAUUCAGGAAUGCACUUCUGCAUUAAUUCAUAGAUUCCAAGACCAGAAGGGACCACUGUGAUUAUCUAGUACAGGGGGUCUCAAACUUUUUUACUGGCAACCCCUUUCACAUUGCAAGCCUCUGAGUGCAACCCCUCUAAUAAAUUAAACACCCUUUUAAAUAUAUUUAACACCAUUAUAAAUGCUCGAGUUAUGGACAGUUCACGGGCCGUGAAUUUUUGUAUACUGCCUGUGACCUGUCCGUGACUUUUACUAAAAAUAUCCGUAAUUAAAAUGUAACCUUAGUUAUAAUAUGUUCAAGGCUUUCAGUGACAACAUAGAAAUAUAAAUUUCUCCUGCUAUACCUUUGGUCAGCAAGAAACUAUUCUCCCUGAAUUCAUUACAAUAUCAUAAGUAAAGGCUGGGACGGAUCUGAGGCAGGGCCCCAUGUGUUCUGCAAUUCCACAACCCAAAAUUUGCCACAAAGUGCACCACCUCCAACAGAAUAUUUUAAAGGUAUUAUUCUAGCCUUUAUGGUUGUAGAGAUUACUCUCAGUUCAUAUUUUCAUGGUAACUGAUGCAGUAAUACCCGGUCAGCUCUGAGCUUGCCCCAUUCAAUUCAACAAGAUGGCAAAAUGAUAAGAUAGGAUGAUAAUGAUGGACACCAUAUAAAAAUGUAGAUAUGUAGUGUCACCAUUGCAGGGCUAGCUGCACCUCUUACCCCUUUUCUAAUCUCUAAUUGCACCCCACUAGGUGUGAAUGAGGCCUUAUGCCUUUACCUUUCUCAGGCCAGAAUCCUAUAAUUCUCCCACUCUUGGACUGGCUCCUAGUUUACAUUAUCCUGUGUAUUGACCAUGCUUAUCCCAACAGGUCUGACUGGAUUUGGUACCUGUUUGUUGUUCUUCUAUUCGGUAGGUGAGACCACUGGUAAGUACAGUGACCCGGCCACCUUCCUAAAUCAAAGUAUUAUUUAAUCUUAACAAUGGGAACAAAGUGUAAUAUAUAAGAAAAUAAUUUUAAAAACAUCUACAUGCAUAUCUAUCUUACUUAAAGGCUUGCCAUCCCUUGGCAGAGACCCCGGACAGGUCUAAUUUCCCAAACACCCCAGCCUCUGGAACCUGGGUUCAUGUGGUAGGCCAGUCACUACUGGGGUACCCCUCGGCAUCUGAGCAUAGUGUUGUGGUAAGUCUGUCGUUGGGUUUGGUCCUCAUGUGCAGGAUACUAGUUCUAGAGGCUUGACAGUUAAGUCAGAUACUGCCUUACUUCUCUUGGGAUAUGCAGAGAGCCCAGCAGUGGAUAGUCCUGGGAUCAAUCAAGGAGGUCUUCAGGCUUCCCCUGAAUCAAUGUUUCAAGGUCUCUACUCCCCUAGUUUCAGGGACUUUUUCCCAGGAAGUUUCUCUCAUGCCAGAGUAGGGUUUUAGGGGUACCGAGGCCCACCCUCUCCACUGGGUUCCAAUCCAGGGCCCUGUGGUGAGCAGAAAAGAUCUGCAUCCUACAGGGGCAAAGUGAAGACAUUAAACAAAAUAAAUCAAAGGUAAGUCUCAGACCUUCUGAGUGUCAAGAGUCCUUUUUCCUUUGCAGCUCUGGUAACAUCACAAUAGCCAAAGAUGGAAGAUAGGUGGAUCACAGCAUUCCCUCCAAGGAGCUAAGAAUGUAGGUCUGUUCACCUCCACUGCCUGCCUGCUACUGAGCUGGUGUGAUCUCUUUUUGAACUCCUCCUCCAGCCCAUACAUGCUUGAGCCCAGAGUAGCUCCUUAACCCCUUCCUUUUCAGAGCAGAAUUUGUACACUCCAUCACAAUCCACUUUAAUUCCCCCUGUCCUUAAGAGAAUGCCUUCAAAUGCAGAAAAAAAUUCUUUGUUCUGUCAACACAUGUGCUAUCCAAAAACAGUUUGGUGAGCUCUAUAGGGAGGCCAAGUCAACCACCUCUACCCUGUUGCCUUCCCAUUUUUCUGUAACAAUCAGCCCAAAUGUUUACCCAGAGGUGUCUUAUCUAGAGCCAUUGUCUUUCCUUCCUGCUUUUUUUCCAAACAGCCUGCUCUUCAACUAAACCAACAUUCAUACAGUAAAUAUUUCAAUAAGCAGCUCACAUACAGUAUUAAUAAAUUACAGAGCAGUACCGCAUCUUUCAUAGGUACUUGAACAGGCAGGUAAGAACACAAGGUUCUUUCCUCAAGGAGUUUAUAAUCUGACAGUGUCAGUGCAAGCAAGAUUGGGCCCUAUGAUGGAUGAUUUAACAAGAAGAUAAAAAAUACUUAAAAUAACCUUAUGCUUAUUUAAUGAAACCUUAAUCUUAUAUUUAGUGUCUGUAUAAUAUAGUGAUUGAGUUCCAUAGAUACUAUAGAUGGAUUUGAUUGCUUAUCAAACCAGUGGGAGGGAAGGAAAGAAAAACACAGAUGUUUUACAGAGCAAAGUCCUCUUAGGAGAGCUUCAUUUACAAGGAAUUUUAAUUACAUCGUUACUAUUCCAGGCAUUUGUUGAGGGAGGAAAUUGCUUUAUUUUCAAUAUUAUCAUUAAUAUUUUUUAAACAUCUGAGCAUGCUAGUUGCUUAAUAGUCAUAAAAGACAGCCUUGUCUCAAAGAGCUUAAAAUCAAUCUUACUCAGCCUCCAAUGCAAGUCUACUGCUUACGUACAUAUUCUUAUACAUGCUUCCUAUUGAACUGCUGUCAUAAAUAUAAAGGGAAGGGUAAACCCCUUUGAAAUCCCUCCUGGCCAGGGGAAAGCUCCUCUCACCUGUAAAGGGUUAAGAAGCUAAAGGUAACCUCGCUGGCACCUGACCAAAAUAACCAAUGAGGAGACAAGAUACUUUCAAAAGCUGGGAGGAGGGAGAGAAACAAAGGGUCUGUGUGUCUGUCUAUAUUCUGUCUUGGCUGGGGAUAGACCAGGAAUGGAGUCUUAGAACUUUUAGUAAGUAAUCUAGCUAGGUACAUGUUAGAUUAUGAUUUCUUUAAAUGGCUGAGAAAAGAACUGUGCUGAAUAGAAUAACUAUUUCUGUCUGUGUAUCUUUUUUGUAACUUAAGGUUUUGCCUAGAGGGGUUCUCUAUGUUUUGAAUCGAAUUACUCUGUAAGGUAUCUACCAUCCUGAUUUUACAGAGGGGAUUUCUUUACUUUUAUUUACUCCUAUUUCUAUUAAAAGUCUUCUUGUAAGAAAACUGAAUGCUUUUUCAUUGUUCUCAGAUCCAAGGGUUUGGGUUUGUGGUCACCUAUGCAAAUUGGUGAGGCUUUUUAUCCAACAUUUCCCAGGAAAGGGGGGGGUGCAAGUGUUGGGAGGAUUGUGCAUUGUUCUUAAGAUCCAAGGGUCUGGGUCUGUAGUCACCUAGGCAAAUUGGUGAGGCUUUUUACCAAACCUUGUCCAGGAAGUGGGGUGCAAGGUUUUGGGAAGUAUUUGGAGGGAAAGACGUUUCCAAACAGCUCUUCCCCAGUAACCAGUAUUUGUUUGGUGGUGGUAGCAGCCAAUCCAAGGACAAAGGGUGGAAUAUUUUGUACCUUGGGGAAGUUUUGACCUAAGCUGGUAAAGAUAAGCUUAGGAGGUUUUUCAUGCAGGUCCCCACAUCUGUACCCUAGAGUUCAGAGUGGGGGAGGAACCUUGACAACUACAAAUGCAACAUUCUUCUCUAGAAACAUCAGCUAUAAGUACUUUACAAGAAAAUCUGCCACUUGGCAAAUUAUCUGAUAUUUCCCAUUUAAGAUCUGAUAUUUACUGAAAUCAAGAUAACACCCAAAACCAGCAACCUCUGGGUCAGAGUCAAGGUUGUUCUGUUUAGGUCUCAGAUUAUGCUUAUCACUCUGGUAUCUGUUAUGUUGUGAUGACACAUCUAUUUCUUUAUACUUAGUAGGAGUAAUAUCUUUAUCAUAUGGACAGCAUAAAAUUAUGUCUAACUGUUCAUUUUCUUUAUUUAAAAGCAUUUGGGCUUUAUACUUAGCAACCUUAAGAACGUCUUAAAAUGAAGAUUUUAUCUCCUCUAUGCAGGAUUAUUCCGAAAAUAUAUUUUCUAAUGCUUUGGUCAGUCCAAUUUUGGUGUGUACUGUCUUUCCUUCUCUUUAACUGUUUACUUAUCUCUCACUCUCUCUGUCUCCAAGCUUCUCUAUCUUUCCCUUGUUCUAGUGGAUCUUUUCUUAUUUGUAUAUGAUGCCUUUGAGUGUUACACUCAAAGUAAUGAGGGGUUCUCCCAUGUGGAGUGUCUCUGUUAUACUUGGUCCUAAUGAAAUAGAAUGUGAUAAUGAGAGUACAUUCUUAUUAGUAAAGUGAGUGACUUCCUUUCUGUUGAUAAUGGUGCAGCCACACAGAAAGUGCCUCUAUCUGGAGUAUUUCCUAGUUUCUGCAGUACCGAGGAAGGGGAACUAGUGGGCUAGCUAACAACGGCUUUGUAUUCUAUCAGCAAUGGCUUUUGGUCAUAAUGAUCUUUUUCAGCAAGCAUUUCCUAAUAGAGUAUCUGGGAUGUUGUAAAAAAAAAUUCAAAUAAAAUAUGUUACCACA